UCUACGGGAGGCUGCAGUGGGGAAUAUUGGGCAAUGGCGGCAACUCUGACCCAGCAAUGCCGCGUGAAUGAAGACGGUCUUCGGAUUGUUAAGUUCUUUAAUCCGGGACGCAGAAGAUGCCGGUACCUGAGGAAUACGCCACGGCAAACAAUGUGCAAGCAGCCGCGGCAAUACAUAGGUGGCAGGCGUUGUACGGAAUGACUGGGCGUAAAGGGAGCGUAGGCGGGCUGUUAAGUUGGAAGGGAAAUCCCGGCGCGCAACCCCGGAACUGCUUUCAAGACUGACGGACUUGAGUGUAAGAGGGGUAAGCGGAAUGCGUGGUGUAGCGGUGGAAUGCGUAGAUAUUAGGAGGAACACCAGUGGCGAAGGCGGCUUACUGGAUUAUAACUGACGCUGAGGCUCGAAAGCGUGGGUAGCGAACAGGAUUAGAUACCCCUGUAGUC
rnacentral:rRNA from 1 species